UGGGGAAUCUUGGACAAUGGGGGCAACCCUGAUCCAGCCAUGCCGCGUGAGUGAUGAAGGCCCUAGGGUUGUAAAGCUCUUUCGCCGGUGACGAUAAUGACGGUAACCGGUAAAGAAGCCCCGGCUAACUUCGUGCCAGCAGCCGCGGUAAUGCAGAGGGGGCAAGCGUUGUCCGGACUUACUGGGCGUAAAGCGCACGCAGGUGGUAACGCAAGUGGGGUGUGAAAGCCGCCAGCUCAACUGGCGGAGGCCAUCCCAAACUGCGUCACUUGAGGCCUGUAGAGGUAUGUGGAAUUGCCGGUGUAGUGGUGAAAUGCGUAGAGAUCGGCAGGAACACCCAGGGGGAAACCAGCAUACUGGACAGGUCCUGACACUCAGGUGCGACAGCGUGGGGAGCGAACCGGAUUAGAUACCCGCGUAGUCC
rnacentral:rRNA from 1 species